AAGCGCACGUAGGCGGCUUUGUAAGUAAGAGGUGAAAGCCCAGAGCUCAACUCUGGAAUUGCCUUUUAGACUGCAUCGCUUGAAUCAUGGAGAGGUCAGUGGAAUUCCGAGUGUAGAGGUGAAAUUCGUAGAUAUUCGGAAGAACACCAGUGGCGAAGGCGGCUGACUGGACAUGUAUUGACGCUGAGGUGCGAAAGCGUGGGGAGCAAACAGGAUUAGAUACCCCGGGU
rnacentral:rRNA from 1 species